AGUGAACGCUGGCGGUAGGCCUAACACAUGCAAGUCGAACGGCAGCACAGUAAGAGCUUGCUCUUACGGGUGGCGAGUGGCGGACGGGUGAGGAAUACAUCGGAAUCUACUUUUUCGUGGGGGAUAACGUAGGGAAACUUACGCUAAUACCGCAUACGACCUACGGGUGAAAGCAGGGGAUCUUCGGACCUUGCGCGAUUGAAUGAGCCGAUGUCGGAUUAGCUAGUUGGCGGGGUAAAGGCCCACCAAGGCGACGAUCCGUAGCUGGUCUGAGAGGAUGAACAGCCACCAGGGAACUGAGACACGGUCCAGACUCCUACGGGGGGCAGCAGGGGGGAAUUUUGGAAAAGGGGGGCAAGCCUGAUCCAGCCAUACCGGGUGGGUGAAGAAGGCCUUCGGGUUGUAAAGCCCUUUUUUUGGGAAAAAAAAGCAGCAGGUUAAUACCCCGCUGUUUUGACGGUACCCAAAAAAUAAGCACCGGCUAACUUCGU
rnacentral:rRNA from 1 species